GAUGGCGCCUUUACCAUUCCGUCGGAGGGCGUGGAUGACGUCAUCCCACACCUGAUGCGAGUUUUGGCUCAUCAGCGAGAUGUUCAAGAGGAGCUGACUGCCAGUCCUUCGGCGCUUGAGUGUUAGCCAGUCACGGUACCUCUGAGCCCCUAGAAGCUUGCUUCUGGUUUGCCUUGUUGAUCUGCUCCUAGUGAAAGUUUUCUUUGUUGCUUCUCCUGCCUCCAGGUGUUUCCUCCUGGCUCCUCUACAACCGCUGAUCCUGAGCCUACCUGUCCGCCCUCCGACAUACUCCCUUUGCCUCCUGGAUCCCCGCUGUCAGACAAGACGACCACCUGGAACCUCUGAGAACUAAAACCCCGGACGCUGCAGUUACCCUCUCACUUCUCUAACCUGCCGAUCACAAUGAACUGUUUGUUCCCUGAACCAGCCUCUCUCCCUGGACCCGACCUGACCCAACUAUUCCUGCCAGCAGUGUUUUCAAUAAAUUUCUUUAUUUUCA